AACUUGGUUGAGCACUGGAACAGGCUGCCCAGGAAAGUGAUGGAAUCACUGGCCCAGAAGUGUUCAAAAAAUGUAUAGUUGUGGCCCUAUAAUUGUGAAGGACCUGACAAUGUUGGAUUAAUGGUUGGACUUGAUGAUUGUAGAGAUCUUUUCUAACCUUGAUGAUUCUAUAGUUCUAUGAACUAGGGGACUUUACUUUCCAGCUGGGAGAUAGUCUCAGUGAUUGCUGCAUGUUUUCCCUCAAACUGUUUCUGCUGUAAGGUCUGUUACCUGAUGUUUUGAAAACAAAUUAAAUUGUAGGAAUGCAGCAUUAAAUGGUGAGAAGGAACCUAAACAACAAGUGGGCAGCUGGUGGAUUAGCAGAACUUUAUGGUGCUGAAAGUGUUAAACCACCGGUUUUCUCUUUAGCUUUUUUUUUCUUUAGCUUGCAUUUUCUCAAGUUUGACAAAACGGACUAAUCGAGGUCUUUGUGUUGAAUCACAGCCAGGAAAAGCCUUAUCUUGAGCUAAAGAGUAGCUGUAUAAAUUAGGUGCCAGAAUUUCAACAUUGCUGGGAAGAAUCCAAACUUGUGAAGCUGCUGUGCCACAGCCCGAUGAGUUUCGGCUUCUGUGGUUCAGAUCAAGUAGAUCUCCUGUGGAGAGAAGAAUGAUUCCGCUACAUUUCUGUUUAGUGGUUGGGUCGACUUUUCUUGGAUACUUUUCAAGCCAUUCCAGGAAUAUGAACUUUCCUUGAACCCUUGCUGUGGUUACUUCUAGGGAGUGGCAUGUGGCGUUAGUCAAGUGCAGCAUGGACUUUUUAGACUGCAAAAAGUGAGAACCAGGGAAGAGGUGCAGUGCUUCAGCUGUCUGUGCCAUUGACUCCAGAUCCUGUGGAUCUCCUCUUCCUUUUUCUGAUAGCUCUGUGUGUUCAGGACUGGGAACUGCUGCCCCUUGCCAAUGCUCCUGUGCAUGACUCAGUUAUCUCCAACUGUCGAAACUCUGGAGGUUGAACCUGUGGUCAGAAACCCUCACAUAAUUCUGCCCUCUCUGGGGGAACCAUCAACUCUGCUUGUAAACCAAAAAGUCUUUCAUGUAAUUAACAACCUGUUGUGAGGAA